AAAUACAACUUCGACAACGCCAAGUGGCUAAAUAUUUGGAGGAACUAAUAAUAGUGAAAUAUUCGCUGUAUUUGGAUCAAAUCCUACUUCCGUAUUUGAAGCACUUAGAAGUUCAAAUAAUAAUAAGCAUGCAUCUUCAUCCUCAAGUAGAAUUUAGUGGACUUGGUUCCGUGCCAGAUCCUGCAAAUAAUUCCAAAAAUGUAUUCAGGACGGCAUCUAAUAUUGGAUCAUCGUCUCGACCAAGUGAUCCUUUUGGAGGUGGUGGUACUAUUUAUGUUUUUGGUAACUCAACGUCGUCAACACCCCAAACUAGAAUGGGAUAUUUUUCAUAUGGAAAUGCACCUUCGAAUCAAGGAUUCGGUAGUCGGAAUCUGUAAGACGAGGGUUCGGUAACGCUCGUACAUUUGGAGUCAACGCCUGCUUUAUUUUAAGGUGGUUCUAGUUCUGUUAGUUUUUCUUUUGGCUCAAACUCUCCUCAACAACCUACUUUCGGAUCCAAAUAUCCUGUAGGUUCAUCCACUUUCGGUAACUUGGGAUCGUCUGGAGGUUCUUUGGCGGCUCAAAGUACAACAAAUACUUUUCCACAGACCUCACCUUCUAUUGGGGGUCUAUCAUCAAUUGCUUCUUCUUCUAGCGGAUCAUCAUCUUUUACGUGAUGGCGAUUAAUUUAUAGUAAUUUUAAUCCCGUUAAUUUAAUUUUGUAUUCUCAUUUCACUUUGAUUAUCACAAUUAUAAAUUAAGGAAUUUGA
rnacentral:lncRNA from 1 species